rnacentral:rRNA from 1 species
ACCCUGCAAUCAAAUAGAUUGUCCCAAGGGCGCCAUAUUCUAGGAGCCCAAGUUAUGCUAUUGAAAAUUCGUUCCUCUAGCAGUUCCGGUUUGAGCAUUUCGUUCCCUUCUUCAAACUCCACUUCUUUUCAUAUAGCAUCCGUGAUCAAAGAGAGAACAAUAUCCAUUUCAAAACAUUUCUAACAGAUUCCUUAGUUCGGACCGACGAAGUAA